rnacentral:tRNA from 1 species
UAUGAGCUGGCCAAGCGGCGAGUUCUUGGAUUACAAAUUAAUUCUCCGGACCUGUUCGGCCCCUAUGAUCUUCCAAC